AGAUUGAACGCUGGCGGCAUGCUUUACACAUGCAAGUCGAACGGUAACAGGCCGCAAGGUGCUGACGAGUGGCGAACGGGUGAGUAAUGUAUCGGAACGUGCCCAGUCGUGGGGGAUAACGCAGCGAAAGCUGCGCUAAUACCGCAUACGAUCUAUGGAUGAAAGCGGGGGACCGUAAGGCCUCGCGCGAUUGGAGCGGCCGAUAUCAGAUUAGGUAGUUGGUGGGGUAAAGGCUCACCAAGCCAACGAUCUGUAGCUGGUCUGAGAGGACGACCAGCCACACUGGGACUGAGACACGGCCCAGACUCCUACGGGAGGCAGCAGUGGGAAUUUUGGACAAUGGGGGAAACCCUGAUCCAGCCAUCCCGCGUGUGCGAUGAAGGCCUUCGGUUGUAAGCACUUUUGGCAGGAGAAACGGCGCCGCCUAAUACGGGCGUCGACUGACGGUACCUGCAGAAUAAGCACCGGCUAACUACGUGCCAGCAGCCGA
rnacentral:rRNA from 1 species